AGUGAACGCUGGCGGUAGGCCUAACACAUGCAAGUCGAACGGCAGCACAGUAAGAUCUUGCUCUUACGGGUGGCGAGUGGCGGACGGGUGAGGAAUACAUCGGAAUCUACUUUUUCGUGGGUGAUAACGUAGGGAAACUUAUGCUAAUACCGCAUACGUCCUACGGGUGAAAGCAGGGGAUCUUCGCACCUUGCGUGACUCAAUUAGCUGAUGUCGGAUUAGCUAGUUGGCUGGGUAAAGGCCCACCAAGGCGACGAUCCGUAGCUGGUCUGAGAGGAUGAUCGGCCACACUGGAACUGAGACACGGUCCAGACUCCUACGGGAGGCAGCAGUAGGGAAUAUUGCACAAUGGGCGAAAGCCUGAUCGAGCAAUACCGCGUGAGUGAAGAAGGCCUUCGGGUUGUAAAGCCCUGUUGUUGGGAAAGAAAAGCAGCAGGUUAAAACCCCGCUGUUCUGACGGUACCCAAUGAGUAAGCAACGGCUAACUUCGUG
rnacentral:rRNA from 1 species